AUUGAACGCUGGCGGCAGGCUUAACACAUGCAAGUCGAGCGAGCGGCGGACGGGUGAGUAAUGUCUGGGAAACUGCCUGAUGGAGGGGGAUAACUACUGGAAACGGUAGCUAAUACCGCAUACCAUCAGAUGUGCCCAUAUGGGAUUAGCUAGUAGGUGGGGUAAUGGCUCACCUAGGCGACGAUCCCUAGCUGGUCUGAGAGGAUGACCAGGCAGACUGGAACUGAGGGACUGUCGAGACUCCUACGGGAGUGAGGAGUGGGGAAUAUUGCAGAAUGGGCGCAAGCCUGAUACAGCCAUGCCGCUGAUGUGAAGAGGGCCUUCGAGGUGUAAAGCACUUUCAGCGAGGUGGCGUUACUCGCAGAAGAAGCACCGGCUAACUCCGUGCCAGCAGCCGCGGUAAUAC
rnacentral:rRNA from 1 species